ACCUUCGAUGCUCUCUCCCAGGCCCGCUGAUUGUCUUUGCAAGACAAUCUGGGUGACAAAUGUGGGCCCGAGGAACACUGCCCUUGCUCGUCAAUUCCCAUUUUGCCCAGUUAAUCAAUAAUUCAACACCUGAAAGGAAAGGAAAGUUGCCAAGGACUUUUGGCCUUAACCGAAAGGAAGCUAUGGUUAUUCCCGGAUCGAGGUUCGUGCCCUGGAAGACCUACAGGCAACAUCAAUGUCCACCAGCAAAGUUUCACGCUCAAGCCCUCACCCCACAAAUUCUCCUUUGCUCCUCUGGAAACAAGAACUGCCUUUUAUUUUUAUUCCAUGUUCCUCCCCUAGAAAAUUAAAACA